UAAAUUACUAUUAUCUUUCUUUAAAAGUGAAAAGAAAAUGAAUAAAGAAGCUUUUCUUUUUUCAAAUUAAAAUUGAUACAAUGAACAAAAGCACAUCACGACGCAACGCGUUAUUACCUGUAUACAGGAAAUAACUGACCAGAAGAAUCGAGGAAGUCGUAUUGUAAUAUUCGUUAAUGGUGGAUAGUAUAUAUGCGUGACAGUGAACGCAAUGAAGGGCCAUCGAAUAAAAUGAUUGAAGGAAGCAUUGAAAGCCUUUUGUUUAUCGACACCCAUUUAAGAGAAUGAUAUCUUGUUUUUGGAAGUUCUGUACAACAAUAUAAAAAAUAACUUUAUUGGAAUUUCUUCCUUACUUUUUAAUCUUUGAUGAUUUUCUUCUGAUUUCUAAAGAUAAAGAAAAAAAAUUCAAAAGAAGAGCAUUUUGUACAGCUUCUCAAGGAGAUUACUCUGAACGUGACCACAAUGAUACUGUGCAAUGAAAUAAAAUGGUCUCUCUCGGUUACCAUAUAUGAAUACACUUGAAGAAAACUUUCAAGGAAAGUCGAAACGAAUUAUUUCGAUGUUAAAAAUCUAUAUCGGCACAAUGUGACAUGGAUAAAAAGGGAUAAGAAAUACUUGAAUAUAGUUGUUACCAACGAGAAUUCGAAAGUGUCGCUAAGCAUCUUUUUAUUGACAAUUGCGUAAUAGGAAAUAUGGUAACAAAUGAAAUCUCUAACUUCCGUAAUCGAACAAUUUCUCUUAUUGACUCUUAUUGAUAAAAAUAAAUAAAGAUGUCCAAUCUUUUUUAUUU